GAAAGACCCCGUGAACCUUUACUAUAGCUUGACACUGAACAUUGAGCCUUGAUGUGUAGGAUAGGUGGGAGGCUUUGAAGUGUGGACGCCAGUCUGCAUGGAGCCGACCUUGAAAUACCACCCUUUAAUGUUUGAUGUUCUAACGUUGGCCCGUAAUCCGGGUUGCGGACAGUGUCUGGUGGGUAGUUUGACUGGGGCGGUCUCCUCCUAAAGAGUAACGGAGGAGCACGAAGGUUGGCUAAUCCUGGUCGGACAUCAGGAGGUUAGUGCAAUGGCAUAAGCCAGCUUGACUGCGAGCGUGACGG
rnacentral:rRNA from 1 species